rnacentral:rRNA from 1 species
AGCGAACGCUGGCGGCAGGCCUAACACAUGCAAGUCGAGCGCUCGUAGCAAUACGAGAGCGGCAGACGGGAGAGUAACACGUGGGAACGUACCCUUCAGUUCGGAACAACCCAGGGAAACUUGGGCUAAUACCGGAUACGUCCGUAAGGAGAAAGAUUUAUCGCUGAAGGAUCGGCCCGCGUCUGAUUAGCUAGUUGGUGAGGUAACGGCUCACCAAGGCUACGAUCAGUAGCNGGUCUGAGAGGAUGAUCAGCCUCACUGGGACUGAGACACGGCCCAGACUCCUACGGGAGGCAGCAGUGGGGAAUAUUGGACAAUGGGCGCAAGCCUGAUCCAGCCAUGCCGCGUGGGUGAUGAAGGCCCUAGGGUUGUAAAGCCCUUUCGGCGGGGAAGAUAAUGACGGUACCCGCAGAAGAAGCCCCGGCUAACUUCGUGCCAGCCGCCGCCGUAAG